UACGUAGGGCGCAAGCGUUGUCCGGAAUUAUUGGGCGUAAAGGGUGCGUAGGCGGUUUGAUAAGUCUUGUGUGAAAUCUCUGGGCUCAACCCAGAGUCUGCAUAGGAAACUGUCGGGCUUGAGUAUGGGGAGAGGUGAGUGGAAUUUCCGGUGUAGCGGUGAAAUGCGUAGAUAUCGGAAGGAACACCUGUGGCGAAAGCGGCUCACUGGACCAUUCUGACGCUGAUGCACGAAAGCUAGGGGAGCAAACAGG
rnacentral:rRNA from 1 species